CUCCCUUCUCCCUCCUUCCCUAGGCCAUCACCCUCUUUCUUUUCCUUUCUUUUCCUUCCUUUUCCUUUCUUUUCCUUCCUUUUCCUUCCUUUUCCUUCCUUUUCCUUUCUUCCCUUUAUUUUUUCCCUUUCUUUUUCUCUUUCUUUUCUUUCCUUUCCCUCUUUUCUCUCUUUCCUCCCCCUCCCACUCCCCCCACCCCGCCUCUUAGCUCCCCCCUCCCGCAGCGGCCAUGGCGGAGCGGAGAGCGGUGCCGGCACCGGGCCGCUGCCGGGGGCGGCGGACCAGCGCCCGGCGGAGCCCGCAGGGCACUUGUCAAAAGGCGGAUGGCUCGGUCGUCAGGACACCAAGCUCUGCUUCAGGAGACUGAGGUUUCAUUCUCUGUUCUGCUCAACACGUUCUUUGGGAUAAACCUAACUUCUCUGCCUACAAAAUGCAGGAAACAGUAUUUGUCUCCUUAGAGAGUUACCAGGAGCAGAAAUGCACCAGACAGUGUUGGACCCCACAUGCCCUGGAAGGCGCUGAAUUCUACUUGCUUUUGUAAUGAGUUCCCUCCACAGCCCAUCACGGGUUUACAGUAUAUCUCAUUCCUGUAGAUGAUCACCACUUGAAAUAUUACAGCAUGUGUCAGGCCAAAACUUGCUUUCCCGGCUUGGUGUUUUAUUGCUUUUUUGAGCAGACUCUACCCCCUCUCAUUAAUCAGAAAUGUCUUAGUCAUCCGCAGCGUGCUGACCACAACGAAAAACCCGGCUGCGGGAAGGCUCCAGGGCUGGCACCGGCUCAGACGAUAAACUUUGUCUGCCUGUAAGCGCACAGGGGCACAAAUCAAUGACCGGUAAGUUCAGGGAGGGGGUGAAACAGGCACAAAAUUGAAGUCAAGGCAACAGAGUGUUUCUCUCUCCCUUCUGCAGCCCGGCUUGCAUCGGACCAUCUGCAUCCUCUUUUCCACCAGGUGCUGAGCACCACCUGGAGUUUUCCUUUCUUUAAACUUUGUGGCUUUUUUCAGCAGACAAGAUUUGCCCUGGCUGUACUGCUGGGGCCUCAUCUUUCACUAAAUAAUUGAUAACCAGAGGGUCUGCGAAAGCCGUUCUUCCCACUUCUGACUCUUGGGUCCCCCCUGCCCAGCGCUGCUGAGGCAGUGCCUUGAUGCGAUGCGCUCCCUGGCCCUUUGGGAGGUGAAUAAGACUACUCACAUUGUAACAACAGCUGUGCAGAAGCAAGAGGUCAGUGCUUUUAGCCAUUGCUAACAGCCUCCGGGCACUGGAACGGCCAAGGGGUGGGGAAAACCCAAUUCUGCAAACUUUUUGAUUGACUACACGGUUUUGUGUGCAAAUCUCAGCGCUAUUCACUGACAAUAUUGAUCUUGAUGUCUGGAGCAGAUGGGCACAGCAGAGGCAGAGCCCAACGGGAGCCCUGGGCUCCGCAGGGACCCCCCAGAGCCCGGUGAGGCAAUGUCUGCCUGGGGCUGUGUCACGUCACCGUGCCCUGCGAUGGGAGACGCGGCCGAAAUGCCACCAAGGACACUGCAGAAAGAGCCGAGGCAUCCGCCAGGGAACGCAGGAGCUGGGGAGAGAGCGGGUGUUUCCUUUUUAAUGUGCUGUUACUUGGUGGCGGAGCAGAUUUUUCCUUUUAAAGGGACAAACCCGAGCAAAUAAAUAAAUAAAUGCACCUUUCCUUUUCUCUAAGAUUAAAUGCUUUCGUGUAAUUGUGCAUUAACCUUUGGUCCUGCAUUAGGCGGCUGCUGCUUUGCACCCUUGAUGCUUUUAAGGGAGGAUUGCAAUUAGCCAAAGUGGCUCUUGACAGUCUUCCAGGCAAGCCCGUGCUGGGGGCCGCGUUCCCGAGGGGAGAUGGAUCACCGCUCUCACGGCUCACCAGAGGCGCCUGGCCUGGAGGAGGCUGGAAAAGGAGGCACCUUUGCUGCAGGCUGGGGCUAAAUGGAGGCUUUUUAGUGCAGGGGGGGCUCAAGGUGGCUUUCAGGCUGAAAAGCUUCCUGCUCAGAUGCGUUUCUUUGCUGAACUCCCACUCCCACAAAUUAGAUUACGAGAGUGCAAGGACCCUCCCCUGGGUCCUGAUGUACAGCAGGGAUAUUUAUAGGAAAAGCUUUUUAAUAGCCUGAGUUGAAAAAUCUGGUUUAGAACAAGCCUAUCCCCAGAUAAUUAAAUAACCCAGCUACGACUAAGAAUAUUGAUCAGGCACUCGAGCCUCCCCCACCCUCACUUCCACGGGAGGCAGAAACCAUGUGCCUGAAGCAGCUGAAUUUGGGAAUUCCCACCGAUUCCCAUGGCAGGACGAGGUCCGGGGGCUGCCCUGGGGAAUGGGGAGCAGGUCCCUCCUUUGCUGUGUGGGGAUGUUGGAUGGACCAUGGCUGUGGGGGGAUGGCGUGACCUGCAAACACAGCUACCCGCUCCCAUCCCUCAUGGCCCCAAGGAUAUUCACAGAAUCCCAGAGUGGCCGGGGUGGGAAGGGACCUCUGGAGAUCCCCUCAUCCAACCCCCGGCCAGAGCAGGGUCACCCCGAGCAGGUGGCACAGGGACGCCUCCAGGCGGGGUUGGGAUGUCUCCAGAGACGGAGACUCCCCCACCUCUCUGGGCAGCCUGUGCCAGGGCUCUGCCACCCUCACAGCACAGAAGUUCCUCCUCGUCUUGAGAUGGAACUUCCCACGGUCACGUUUGUGCCCGUUACCCCUUGUCCUGUCCCCGGGCACCACUGAGAAGAGCCUGGCCCCGUCCUCCUGACACCCCCUCUUGAAGUAUUGAUCAGCGUUGAUAAGAUCCCCCCUCAGUCGGCUUUUUUCCAGGCUGAAGAGCCCCAAAUCCCUCAGCCUUUCCCCCUCAGAGAGAUGUUCCAGUCCCCUCAUCCUCUUGGUGGCCCCUUGCUGUCCCCUCUCACAGGAGAGGUUUUCCUGCCAUUCCCAAGCCCCACAGCGGAUACAACACUGCACCCAGGGCCAUGUACUGCGGCUGGUUUCAUCCACUGACUUUUAAAAUAGUUUUGUUUGACUUAAAUCUCACAUUUCCUGCUAAAAAUAUAUUUUUGAAAACAAUCAUAUAGGGAUUUUUAUGGGACGUUUUCUUCUCAGACAUCAUCGCUGUGUUUGCUAGUUAUGCUGGAAAGCUGCUUACUCCCAGAAACCUCAGCUUCCCUGAAAGCCUGAAAGUAGAUAAAAAUAAGUGAAUAAAACAUUCAGGGUGCAAAGUUCCAAAUUUUCUGUUCCAAAUAUGUUUUCUUUUUUAUUAUAAUAAACACUGUUCAAAAUAAAACA